rnacentral:rRNA from 1 species
GAUGAACGCUGGCGGCGUGCCUAAUACAUGCAAGUCGAGCGAACAGACGAGGAGCUUGCUCCUCUGACGUUAGCGGCGGACGGGUGAGUAACACGUGGAUAACCUACCUAUAAGACUGGGAUAACUUCGGGAAACCGGAGCUAAUACCGGAUAAUAUAUUGAACCGCAUGGUUCAAUAGUGAAAGACGGUUUUGCUGUCACUUAUAGAUGGAUCCGCGCCGCAUUAGCUAGUUGGUAAGGUAACGGCUUACCAAGGCAACGAUGCGUAGCCGACCUGAGAGGGGGAUAGGCCACACGGGAACUGAGACACGGUCCAGACUCCUACGGGAGGCAGCAGUAGGGAAUCUGCCGCAAAGGGCGAAAGCCUGACGGAGCAACGCCGCGUGAGUGAUGAAGGUCUUCGGAUCGUAAAACUCUGUUAUUAGGGAAGAACAAAUGUGUAAGUAACUAUGCACGUCUUGACGGUACCUAAUCAGAAAGCCACGGCUAACUACGUG